rfam:TPA: Bos taurus chromosome 5, whole genome shotgun sequence.
UCCCUGGUGGCUCGGACGGUGAAGCGUCUGCCUGCAACGCGGGAGACCCGGGUUCGAUCCCUGGGUUGGGAA